GAUGAACGCUGGCGGCGUGCCUAAUACAUGCAAGUCGAACGAAACUUCUUUAUCACCGAGUGCUCGCACUCACCGAUAAAGAGUUGAGUGGCGAACGGGUGAGUAACACGUGGGCAACCUGCCCAAAAGAGGGGGAUAACACUUGGAAACAGGUGCUAAUACCGCAUAACCAUAGUUACCGCAUGGUAACUAUGUAAAAGGUGGCUAUACUACCGCUUUUGGAUGGGCCCGCGGCGCAUUAGCUAGUUGGUAGGGUAAAGGCUUACCAAGGCAAUGAUGCGUAGCCGAAUUGAGAGGUUGAUCGGCCACAUUGGGACUGAGACACGGCCCAAACUCCUACGGGAGGCAGCAGUAGGGAAUCUUCCACAAUGGGCGAAAGCCUGAUGGAGCAACGCCGCGUGGGUGAAGAAGGUCUUCGGAUCGUAAAACCCUGUUGUUAGAGAAGAAAGUGCGUGAGAGUAACUGUUCACGUUUCGACGGUAUCUAACCGGAAAGCCACGGCUAACUACGUG
rnacentral:rRNA from 1 species